UUGACCUCGGAUCAGGCAGGGAUACCCGCUGAACUUAAGCAUAUCAAUAAGCGGAGGAAAAGAAACCAACAGGGAUUGCCUCAGUAACGGCGAGUGAAGCGGCAACAGCUCAAAUUUGAAAUCUGGCUCUUUUAGGGUCCGAGUUGUAAUUUGUAGAGAUGCUUCGGCGUCCGCUCCGGUCUAAGUUCCUUGGAACACGACGUCAUAGAGGGUGAGAAUCCCRUAGGUGAUCGGUUGCCCUUGCCAUGUGAAGCUCCUUCAACGAGUCGAGU
rnacentral:rRNA from 1 species